GAUUCAGUUGAUGAUAUGGAUGUCAAAUUCUCACGACGGUCGUCUGAAGAGGCACUUUUGUAGUGUCUGCUGAUUGAGAUUUAUAUCCUUUCUGAUGAUU
rnacentral:snoRNA from 1 species